ACCUAUAGAUACACAGAGAGAGAAACAAACCCACCCCCAAAGGCAAAAAUCAUUCCUUUUGAAGAUCUUGAUCGACAAAAACGGUGUGUGUGUAAACUACAACUGGGUUUGCCAUUGUUACCGGUAAAGAAUCAAGAUUUUUUACAAAUAUGCAAAAGAAAAGAUGGAGGAAGUUAGGGUUCUUAAGGCGAGUGCUAACGUGCGCCAUAGCUUUGAUCUCUUUGGUGGCUUUGUUUUCUGCUCAUUUGCAUCUCUUCUUCCCUCCUUCACGUGUUUCCAUGCUUCCUGAUCCUUAUAAGCUCCCUACGCAACACGAAAUUCAAUACCAAAAGUUGAGCAGAGAGCGAAGCUGGAUUCAACCCCAUUUGUCAAAAGCUCCUCUCCCUGCUCUCAAGUUGGAUGGUGCUCCUAACCGCUCGUUGGAAUCCAACAAAUUGUGGAAGCCUCCACCCAACCGCGACUUUACCCCUUGUGUUGACCCAACUUCAUCCUAUUUAGCUCCACAAGAAUCUCGAGGUUACUUGCUUGUUCAUACAAACGGUGGCCUCAAUCAAAUGCGUGCCGGGAUAUGUGAUAUGGUAGCUGUUGCUCGUAUUAUAAAUGCUACUCUGGUAGUGCCAGAGCUCGAUAAACGGUCGUUUUGGCAAGAUACAAGCAACUUCUCUGAUGUAUUCGAUGAAGAUUAUUUCAUUACCGCAUUGGCUAAUGAUGUAAAAAUAAUCAGAAAACUUCCGAAAGAACUAAUGACCGCUACGAGAGCUGUUAAGCACUUUAGAAGCUGGUCAGGUAUUGAUUACUAUGAGCAAGAGAUUGCAAGCUUGUGGGAUGAUUAUCAGGUUAUUCGUGCAGCAAAAUCGGAUUCAAGAUUAGCCAACAAUAACCUUCCUCCUGAUAUUCAGAAAUUACGUUGUCGUGCAUGUUAUGAAGCCCUCCGUUUCUCCCCUCGUAUAGAAGCAAUGGGAAAAUUGUUAGUGGACCGAAUGAGGUCGUAUGGUCCUUACAUUGCUUUGCAUUUGAGGUAUGAAAAAGACAUGCUUGCUUUUAGUGGAUGCACACAUGAUUUGUCCAUUGAAGAAGCUAAUGAACUUACGGCUAUUAGAGAAAAUACGUCUUAUUGGAAAGUGAAAGAUAUUGAUUCCACUGAACAAAGAGCAAAAGGGUAUUGUCCAUUAACUCCAAAAGAAGUUGGAAUAUUCCUUCGGGCACUUGGAUUUCCACCUACAACUCCUAUAUAUAUUGCUGCUGGUGAAAUAUACGGUGGAGAUUCCCGUAUGGCUGAUAUCACCUCGAUUUUCCCCAUUUUAAUGAAAAAGGAAAAAUUGGCGACAGUUGAAGAACUUGAUCCUUUCAUCAACCAUGCAUCUCAAAUGGCUGCGUUAGACUACAUUGUAUCUGUGGAAAGUGACAUUUUUAUCCCUUCGUAUUCUGGGAAUAUGGCAAGGGCUGUCGAGGGCCAUAGACGCUUUUUGGGACACCGAAAAACUAUUUCUCCUGACAGAAAACUCCUUGUUCGAAUUUUUGACAAAAUCGCUAAUGGCACAAUGAAAGAAGGCAAGAAGCUUUCAAGUCGGAUAAUUGAAAUGCACAAAAGACGGCAAGGUUCACCAAGGAAGAGAAAGGGCCCAAUCACGGGGACAAAAGGAACCGACAGGUUCCGUUCAGAAGAAGCAUUUUACGUGAACCCGUUGCCCGAUUGCUUAUGUCAAAAGGAAUCAACAGAGAAUGAAAAUAGCACCACCGCUGUCAUCAGAUAGAUCCCGUAAACGGCUUGUUCUGAAGCACGCAGAAGCUGCUGACAUGGCGACCGCGUUUCCAGGAUAACGGGUGUGGAGGACGGUAGUCCCGUGAGGAUGAUCUGCCACGUGCGUCCACGUCAGGUGUGGGGGAUGAGCCUAAAUGGAUGGGUCUAUGGUGUGGGGAUGAGCCCCUUUAUAUAUUCAUAUGUAGUGGAGAGUUCAAAUGAGAAGAAAUUUUUUGUAAGAAGAAUUUUCAACCAAUAAAAAUGCUUUAUUUUACUUCA